AUGAUCGCUCAAGACAACGGUAUGCAAUCUCCUACAGCUGGAAAAUGGCUUCCUGUUCCAGAAGCUGCUGAAGGUUUGCAAGCUGAGCCUCCGUUUGAGUUCCAGGUUUGGGAAAUCACAUUAGAGGUGGUCUGUACGUAUUUGGAUUCCAGUGUUGCCGAACUUGAGAGAGAUGCUUACCCUGUUUUAGAUGAACUGGCCAGAAAUGUUAGCAUGAAGACUCUUGAGCAUGAGAGAAGUUUGAAAAGCAAUCUCACUCGAUUACUUGUGCAGCUGCAAAAGUGACUCCACAUCGACAAAUCAUCUCGAAAGCAAUAAGAGCUGCUGAAAUGGUCCAAGACUUCGAAUUGCCUUGUCUGAGCCUUGUUUAAACUUUUAGACUUGAGUAUUUAUGCAUGCAAAUUGAAGAUUACCAGCAUCAAAUAUUGUCGAUCUAUUGUGAUUUGUACCAGUGCAAUUAGACUAACUACAGCUGGCCCUGCAUUCUGGAACCGCUUCCAUCUUAUAUCUCUUCCUUGGAUCGAUAUCUGGUAUCAAAAUCUAUAUUGCACCCUUUAUUAUGCAUUAGGAGUCUUUAAAUUCUUUUGGCUAGAUUUUCCAGUAAGGCAUUUUUUUCUUUUUGGAUAGUCUUAUCAGCAUUUUAGCACGUUUUGCUAAGUUCUAAAGAGUGAGAUCAAUUCUUAGCGAAUCAUGAGUAGAUUACUUUCGUCCUAUAUGCUAAUGAAGGGGCAAACAUUCGUCUGGCGGUAUGAGAGAUGUGAGAUCGAACAUCUUUUAUAUGACAAUGAAGAUAUGGCUCAAUUAUACUUAACAAGGAAGUGGAUACAGAAUCAGCAAUCUGAGGCUUUGAUGGGAGAAAUGGCAGCAAAUGGCAUUUUUUCCACUGUACCUCUUCUCAGACAGCUUUACAAGAAGUGGUGCUUUGGUAAGCAACUAUCUAAAUGACAAAACAUGGAGGACAUAGAAAUAUUACUUGAAGCUUACUUCAUGCAACUGGAUGGCACUCGUAACAAGAUACUGUCUGAUUCACCUUGAUGAAACAGCAUCUCAUUUGGGCACUGAUCCUGUAGAAUAGCCUGCAAUGCUGACCGAAACUUCUGGCUCUCCUAAAUUUGACAAUCUGAAAUUGAUUGCAAACGAGAAAUUCAAAAGCUAACCAUUUCCUUACCUGUUUUUUGUUUUUUCUGAGAAUAUAUGUCUGCUUAAUGAAUGUUCAAAAGUCCAGUGGCAUGAAUAACUUUACUUUUUCUAUUCUCUUGCACUUCCACUUUUUUAUGCCCCCUGUUUGACAACCUUUAUUUGAAAACUACUUUUUCUACAUACUUAUUUUCAAUUACACAUUCACACGAUAAAAUAUUGUACAUGUAGACUCAAAACUUUUUCCUACUUUUUAAGAAUAAUGAUAUUUGCAAUCACUCA